rnacentral:rRNA from 1 species
AACGAACGUUGGCGGCGUGGAUUAGGCAUGCAAGUCGCGCGAAUCCCCGCAAGGGGGGAAGCGGCGUAAGGGGCAGUAAGGCGUGGGCAACCCACCCCCCGGUCCGGGAUAGCCCGUCGAGAGACGGGGUAAUACCGGGCGACGCCACCUGGAGGCAUCUCCGGGUGGCCAGAGGUCCGCCGCCGGGGGCGGGGCCCACGUGGUAUUAGCUAGUUGGUGGGGUGACGGCCCACCAAGGCGGAGAUGCCUAGCGGGUGUGAGAGCACGACCCGCGCCACUGGCACUGAGACACUGGCCAGACACCUACGGGUGGCUGCAGUCGAGGAUCUUCGGCAAUGGGGGCAACCCUGACCGAGCGACGCCGCGUGGGCGACGAAGGCCUUCGGGUUGUAAAGCCCUGUCGAGGGGGAGGAAACCCACAAGGUUGACCCAUCCCUGGAGGAAGCACGGGCUAAGUUCGUGCCAGCAGCCGCCGUAAAAC